CCCACAUGUAGCUUGCUCCCUCUCUCCCGUGCGUGCUCACCGUUGCCAAAUUGGCCACGGCGCCGCUCGCGCACACCACGACGCGUCGCACGACGCUUCUCCCCUGCUCACGCAAGAGCCGAGCCCCAGCCCUUUUCCCCUGCUGCCCAGAGCAGCCUCGCCGCCCGCCAUGGCUGCCGCCGGCCUUGCACGCCGCGCUCCCACCUCCGGUCUUCCUCCACCCAAGCCGGCCACCGAAAUAGCUUCUCCACCUCCCACUGAUUCUCCACGGCCCAACCCCGCUUGCCCAGCCACACCGGAACGCCGCCGCAGCGGCACAGUACCACUGCCGGCCGCCGGCCGCUGUGGAACCGCCACCACGGACCACCUCCUCGCGCUCCAAGGCCACCUACAGGUCCGCACCGAUCUCCUCUCGCUCCUCCACCCCUCCCUCGCCGCCAUCAAGCCCUCCCAUGGCCGGAAUCGCCGUUCCCCUUUCACCCCUCCCAUGUUUUCGCGACCAGGGACCCCAGACAGCAAUAGAAAGAAUUCCAGGGUGUUUUCUGCGAAGUCCAUGACUCAGGUACGAUAGAUGAACCAUAUGAAGGACGUGCUACUGGAGCCGAACCCGAAGACGAUGUUGGUGGACAUAUCCCGAAGAUGGAUGGAUGGAACCCGAUGUGCAUGACCAAAGGAAGAUGCUCGUCAAGCGAGUAUCAUCUAACUAACACUGACUUAGUGUUAAUCCCAGGCAAGUCCCGGUGCAUAUCCUAUUAUUUGAAAUUAUGACACCUAUAUAUGUAUUUAUUACUUGUGCAUUACGUUUCAGGAGUUGAGUGGAACCCUAGUUGCGUGA